ACGCUCGACACCUACGGGAGACAGCAGUGGGGAAUAUUGCACAAUGGGGGGAACCCUGAUGCAGCGACGCCGCGUGAGUGAAGAAGUACUUCGGUAUGUAAAGCUCUAUCAGCAGGGAAGAAAAUGACGGUACCUGACUAAGAAGCCCCGGCUAACUACGUGCCAGCAGCCGCGGUAAUCUGAGGCGGGCUGGCAAGGC
rnacentral:rRNA from 1 species